AGCGAACGCUGGCGGCAGGCCUAACACAUGCAAGUCGAGCGGCCGUAGCAAUACGGCAGCGGCAGACGGGAGAGUAACACGUGGGAACGUGCCCAUCAGUUCGGAACAACCCAGGGAAACUUGGGCUAAUACCGGAUACGCCCUUACGGGGAAAGAUUUAUCGCUGAUGGAGCGGCCCGCGUCUGAUUAGCUAGUUGGUGAGGUAACGGCUCACCAAGGCGACGAUCAGUAGCUGGUCUGAGAGGAUGAUCAGCCUCACUGGGACUGAGACAUGGCCCAGACUCCUACGGGAGGCAGCAGUGGGGAAUAUUGGACAAUGGGCGCAAGCCUGAUCCAGCCAUGCCGCGUGGAUGAUGAAGGCCCUAGGGUUGUAAAGUCCUUUCGGCGGGGAAGAUAAUGACGGUACCCGCAGAAGAAGCCCCGGCUAACUUCGUGCCAGCCGCCGCCGUAACAC
rnacentral:rRNA from 1 species